rnacentral:rRNA from 1 species
GACGAACGCUGGCGGCGUGCUUAACACAUGCAAGUCGAACGAUGACGACCGAGCUUGCUCGGUCUGAUUAGUGGCGAACGGGUGAGUAACACGUGAGCAACCUGCCCUUCACUCUGGGAUAACCUCGGGAAAUCGAGGCUAAUACCGGAUAUGAGCUCCUGUCGCAUGGCGGGUGUUGGAAAGUUUUUCGGUGAAGGAUGGGCUCGCGGCCUAUCAGUUUGUUGGUGAGGUAGUGGCUCACCAAGGCGAUGACGGGUAGCCGGCCUGAGAGGGCGACCGGCCACACUGGGACUGAGAAACGGCCCAGACUCCUACGGGAGGCAGCAGUGGGGAAUAUUGCACAGUGGGCGAAAGCCUGAUGCAGCGACGCCGCGUGAGGGAUGACGGCCUUCGGGUUGUAAACCUCUUUCAGCAGGGAAGAAGCGAAAGUGACGGUACCUGCAGAAGAAGCGCCGGCUAACUACGUG